rnacentral:rRNA from 1 species
UAGCCCCAUGCUAGUCGCACAGAGUUCAGACUCGUGGCAUAUAGCUCAGUAACACGUGGCCAAACUACCCUACAGACCGCGAUAACCUCGGGAAACUGAGGCCAAUAGCGGAUAUCACUCUCAGACUGGAGUGUCGAGAGUGAGAAACGUUCCGGCGCUGUAGGAUGUGGCUGCGGCCGAUUAGGUAGAUGGUGGGGUAACGGCCCACCAUGCCGAUAAUCGGUACGGGUUGUGAGAGCAAGAACCCGGAGACGGUAUCUGAGACAAGAUACCGGGCCCUACGGGGCGCAGCAGGCGCGAAACCUUUACACUGCACGACAGUGCGAUAGGGGGACUCCGAGUGCGAGGGCAUAUAGCCCUCGCUUUUCUGUACCGUAAGGUGGUACAGGAACAAGGACUGGGCAAGACCGGUGCCAGCCGCCGCGGUAAUACCGGCAGUCCAAGUGAUGGCCGAUAUUAUUGGGCCUAAAGCGUCCGUAGCCUGCCGGACAAGUCCGUUGGGAAAUCGACGCGCUCAACUGGUCGGCGUCCAGCGGAAACUGUCCGGCUUGGGGCCGAAAGACCUGACGGGUACGUCCGGGGUAGGAGUGAAAUCCUGUAAUCCUGGACGGACCACCAAUGGGGAAACCACCUCAAGAAAACGGACCCGACGGUGAGGGACGAAAGCUAGGGUCUCGAACCGGAUUAGAUACCCGGGUAGUCCUGGCUGUAAACGAUGCUCGCUAGGUGUGCCGUACGCCACGAGCCUGUGCUGCGCCCUAGGGAAGACGAAAAAGCGAGCCGCCCGGGAAAGUACGUCUGCAAGGAUGAAAACUUAAAGGAAUUGGGCGGGGGGAGCACCACAACCGGAGGAACCCUGGCGGUUUAAAUUGGAACUCAACGCCCGGAAAAUCUCACCGGGUCCCGAACAGUAGUUAAUGACCGGUCAGGGUUGACGAACUUUUACCCCGAACGCUACUGAGAAGGAAGGUGCAUGGGCCGCCCGUUCAGCUUCGUAACCGUGAG